rnacentral:rRNA from 1 species
UACGAAGGGUGCAAACGUUGCUCGGAAUCAUUGGGCGUAAAGCGCACGUAGGCGGCAUCGCAAGUCGGAUGUGAAAUCCCUUGGCUCAACCAAGGACGUGCAUCCGAAACUGCGGAGCUUGAGUACAGAAGAGGGUCGCGGAAUUCCCGGUGUAGAGGUGAAAUUCGUAGAUAUCGGGAGGAACACCAGUGGCGAAGGCGGCGAUCUGGGCUGAUACUGACGCUGAGGUGCGAAAGCGUGGGGAGCGAACAGG